rnacentral:sRNA from 1 species
UGAAUGUCUACCUGCAGUGGAAGAACAAUAAUUACUCCACCAUCUGGUGUAACGAUCAUUUCAUCCAUGCUAAGGCCAUGCGGAAGGUAGGGUGGUGGAUGAGCAGGAUGUUGGGAUGAGGGGAGGGUCGAGAGGGAAGGAGGGCUCCCUCCUGGUGCCUCCAUGUCCUGCCCUAGGUCCGGGAGGUGCGAGCUCAACUCAAGGACAUCAUGGUGCAGCAGCGGAUGAGCCUGGCCUCGUGUGGCACUGACUGGGACAUCGUCAGGAAGUGCAUCUGUGCUGCCUAUUUCCACCAAGCAGCCAAGCUCAAGGGAAUCGGGGAGUAUGUGAACAUCCGCACUGGGAUGCCCUGCCACUUGCACCCCACCAGCUCCCUUUUUGGAAUGGGCU